rnacentral:rRNA from 1 species
AUGCUUCUCCAGCAGGGGAGGGCGAUCUGCGCCGAUGCGCGCAGGGGAGGGCAAGCACCCGCGGAGAGCUGCGCUGUCGCGCGCGGGCGUGGGGGAGAACCCGUGGCAAGCUGCGGUGGCUUGUGUAGGUAUCCGCGAGGCGAGGACGAGCUGCGCCGGCGCCUACAGACAUGGACGAGCACCGGCGAGGAACCACAGUGGCUCGCGCAGGCAUCAGCAAGGCAUGGGCCAUCGGCGGGGGAGCUACGGUUGCUCGCACACGCGUGGGCAAGCUAUGGCGCAGAGAUGCGGUGGCUUCCGCAAGCAGCAGUGGGGUACGGCGACGAGCUAGCCCAAGAGCAAUCCUUAUCCAACCAGUCCACACACAUCAGAUAA